UUUGAGCGGAGGCAGGAAAGUUUCUAAGGUGGAGUUCCUAGGCAAACUCCUUAUUUAAAAAAGGGACCUUCCAUAGAACAACAUCUCUCAGAUGGGGAAUCUUCCGAAAUUGCGUAAGAAAAAUAAGACAGAGAUUCUUAUUUGCUUGAUCAUUGGCGCGGUAAAUGCGUUUGACUGAACUUCCCAUUGUUUUCUCUCCGAUAGCAUGCAGCCGAUAAUAGAGAAUGGGAAUUGGCUCGAACGGAGGAAACGCUGAGGAGAUCUCGUUUUUAAUGCGACCCAUGGAUCAGAAAAUACCUAAUAAGAGGGAUUCCGUG
rnacentral:lncRNA from 1 species